rnacentral:tRNA from 1 species
GGGUGAUUAGUUUAAAUUAAAACACUUGAUUUCGGCUCAAGAACCUAUGGUGAAACUCCAUAAUUACCUU